rnacentral:lncRNA from 1 species
CUCUGCUCCUGCUCCAGCGGCACAAUGUGAUCCACCGACAAGGAGGGACGCCAAUAAGAGUAAGGCUGGCUACAUGGAACCGUGAGAAGCUGAACUGUGGAGACAAGAACAGUAUUUUUUCCCCAAUGGUCAAGUUCUGUGGUGGCCUUCUGGAACAGAUUGAAUUACUUCCACAUCUUCUGAUGUAUUUUUUUCCCUUUGCUCUCUAAAACUAGAAGUAACAUUUAAAAAUCAUGUCCAUUUCAAAGUUAAAAUAUCUUCAUUUUCUUCAUUUUAAAGGUUCUUUUUUUUUUCUGAUUCUGUGCUUCAGUGAACACGUUUAUUUCCAAGCACCAAGAGCAACAGGAGCUCCUUCAGACUGUAUCAGCUUACAAGCCAGUGUGCAAAGACAGGAUGAAAAACCACAGGCUUAUGGGAUGCUUCCUGUAGGGGCCAAAUUGCUUGCCACUCUUGCUUCACCAAGCUGUCUAGAAAAACAUUUGGUUUCCAGAUGUUCAGUAUGACAGGACCCUUGUUCUUUUUCAGGAUCCAUGGGACUUGUACUAUCCAAGAUACCAUCAGAAUGUUUUUCCAUAGUGUUUUCAGGUAAACAUGUAAAGGCUAGGACAAGAAGACAGAUUGGACUGUUGGUGUGUCUCUGGGAAACUGUCUUUAUUGUCAUUAUGGAUGUGAAAAGACCGAGACUAAAAGUGGCCAGCAACUUUUGGUAGCUGCCCAGAUAAAAAGGACAUGGAAGAAGGAAAACACGGCUUCCAAAGCAGACUGAAGACCCUGCUCAUUCCUUCACUGAUAUUACAAACACCUUCUUCAGAUUUCUGAAAUGACCAGAGGCUCCCUAGGGCUCCUCCAGGCCUUCACAACCAGAUUGGGACUUGGAGACUGAACCAACAUUGGGUUCAUGACUCUUGGGUUAUCUGGCAUGAUACACAUUUUCUUCUAUAACUCUGAAUGUAUGUAAAUGAGUGUAAUAAAUACUCUUUUAAUAUGUGUCUUUGUUAGGGUUUUAUUUCUAUGAAGAGAGACCAUGACCACAGCAACUCUUAUAUAAAGGAAACCAUCUAAUUGGGGCUGGCUUACAGGUUUCAGAGGUUUAGUCCAUUAUUCCCAUGUUGGGAAGCACAGCAGCAUGCAGGCAGACAUGCUGGAGAAGAGGGCAAGAGUUGUACAUCUGGAUCAGCAGGCAGCAGGGAGGGACUAUGAGACACUGGG